GAGUGCGUAGCUCAGCGGUAGAGCGGUGCAGGAAUGCGAAAGAGAAUAGACGGAGGUUGGAAGGCCUCGCAUUUCCGAGCGCAGGUUGCGGGUUCGAAUCCUGCCGCACUCCCCA
rnacentral:tRNA from 1 species